rnacentral:sRNA from 1 species
AGCUCCACCGGAUCGACGCCGCGGGUCACGGUCAGAUAGUCCCGGAGCACGAUCGAGUGCCGCGCCUC